AUUGAACGCUGGCGGCAGGCCUAACACAUGCAAGUCGAACGAGUGGCGGACGGGUGAGUAAUGUCUGGGAAACUGCCCGCUGGCGGGGGAUAACUACUGGCAACGGUAGCUAAUACCGCAUACCAUCGGAUGUGCCCAGAUGGGAUUAGCUAGUAGGGGGGGUAACGGCUCACCUAGGCGACGAUCCCUAGCUGGUCUGCGAGGAUGACCCGCCAAACGGGAACUAAGACACGGUCCAAACGCCUACGUGAGGCAGUAGUGGGGAAUAUUGCACAAUGGGCGCAAGCCUGAUGUAGCCAUGCCGGGUGUAGGAAGAAGGCCUUCGGGUUGUAAAGUACUUUCAGCGAGGAGGCGUUACUCGCAGAAGAAGCACCGGCUAACUCCGUGCCAGCAGCCGCGGUAAUU
rnacentral:rRNA from 1 species